UUGCAUUAAUAACUGUAUUUCCUCCCCCAAAGAUUGUCAAGUUUUUUUUCUUCACAAUGUCAUGCAUUCUUGCAUAGGCCUCAGGCUCAAUGAAUCCCCAAGAUGGUUGGUCGUGGAAAGAAAGCGGUCACCAAAAAGACUUCGACAAGCCGCUCUGCUAGGUCUGGUCGCCAGUUUUAUGUAGGCCAAAUUCUCCGUCUGCUGAGGCGCACACGCGCGGCAAUCUACCUCGCUGCCAUCCUGGUUUACUCUGUGCAUACAUUCUGGAGCUGUCGGGCAAUGCAGCCCAUGACACAAGUGGCGCAUUGCUCCCCGGCACAUCCAAUUGGCUGUGCGGAACAAUGAUGAGCUGAACACUGGGCGGCGUCCCAAAUCGGUGUUCUUCCAAACAUACACGCCGUGCUGCUCCCGAAGACUGACAAGGCGUCUAGAGAUGACUGCACUGCCAAAGACAUCCAGUGUCAAUAGUUUUAAAUGUACAAUGUUUUUACUGCAAGAGCACUUAUUUUAGUGUUUCCUAAUAAAAGUAUUGUACUAAGA